GCCCAGGUGGUGAAAUCGGUAGACACAAGGGAUUUAAAAUCCCUCGGCCUUAAGGCCGUGCGGGUUCAAGUCCCGCCCUGGGUACCA
rnacentral:tRNA from 1 species